rnacentral:rRNA from 1 species
UAGGGAAUCUUCGGCAAUGGGGGCAACCCUGACCGAGCAACGCCGCGUGAGUGAAGAAGGUUUUCGGAUCGUAAAGCUCUGUUGUAAGAGAAGAACGUGUGUGAGAGUGGAAAGUUCACACAGUGACGGUAACUUACCAGAAAGGGACGGCUAACUACGUGCCAGCAGCCGCGGUAAUACGUAGGUCCCGAGCGUUGUCCGGAUUUAUUGGGCGUAAAGCGAGCGCAGGCGGUUUAAUAAGUCUGAAGUUAAAGGCAGUGGCUUAACCAUUGUUCGCUUUGGAAACUGUUAAACUUGAGUGCAGAAGGGGAGAGUGGAAUUCCAUGUGUAGCGGUGAAAUGCGUAGAUAUAUGGAGGAACACCGGUGGCGAAAGCGGCUCUCUGGCCUGUAACUGACGCUGAGGCUCGAAAGCGUGGGGAGCAAACAGG